UCAAAACAGCGGCCUUCGGGCCUUGCUGCACCCUUGUCUUUUGCGCACCGUAUUGUUUCCUCGGCGGGCUUGCCUGCCGGUUGGACAUUAUCAAACCUUUUUGUAGUUGCAAUCAGCGUCAGAAAAACAAUAAUUAUUA
rnacentral:misc_RNA from 1 species